AAUAACGUGUCAUGACGUGGCUCGUCCCUUGCAGCUCCACUCGCAUCAGUUACAUUUCCAUGGCGUCUCUAAGAAGGCCGCAGUAACAAAAUCAUUUUAUGAAAAUGGCGGCAAAGGCAAAACCUACAACGAAGGAACAAUCUCAUCCUGAAGGAAUGUUUGAAGGAAUGGUUGUCUUCUUUGUUCCUAAAGGAGUUCAACCUCGUCGAUUACAGAUUUGGAAGCAAAGGAUGGUUCAAAUGGGGGCUGUGAUAGAGGAGCGCCUUUCCAAACGUGUUACUCAUGUUUUAGCUGUCGACUCACAUACCGUUUUACAGGAAUUCGAUACAUAUCGUUUGUCACGUUUUAAAGGGGACUUGUGUAUGCUGUACUUUGACUUGUGUAAACUGAAAUUGAAAGUUCUCCUUUAUCAGUGGCUGGAGGACAGUUUGAAAUCAGGGGAGAAACUAUCAGAGAAUUUGUAUGUACUGAAGUUGGAUCCUCAAGAUGAAAGUAUCAACGAACCUGACAAGUCUUUGGAUCCUGAGCCAACUGAUGCGAACGUUUCUAGCGAACUUCAGAAAUUAAAUAAUAAAAAGAUAAAAUCAUCUUCCGACGAUACGAAAAUUGUUAACCUUGAAACUAAUGAAAAUAGAAGAGAAAAUGCACCACUUUCAUCAACAAGCAUCGCAAGCACAGACGGUGAGGUCGAGAAUUUAAAUUAUGCUGACAGAAGACCACAACACCGUGAUGCUGAAAACGAGGCAUCAACCUUGCCGUACUGCCCGCCUGAUCUAAACAAGAACAUUACAGAGAUAUUCAAGAAACUUGUGAACAUAUAUAGAGCAUUGGGUGAUGACCGGAGAUCUUUUAGCUAUUACAAGGCUAUUUCAGUGAUUGAGAAGUUGCCAUUUAAAGUUGAAAGUGCAGACCAGAUAAAAAACCUCCCGUCAAUUGGAAAGUCAAUGAAGGAUCAUAUUCAGGAGAUAAUCACUACUGGGAAGUUAUUGAAAUUGGAACACUUUGAAACUGAUGAAAAGGUGCAAACAAUAUCCUUAUUUGGAGAAGUAUGGGGUAUAGGUCCAGCCACAGCACUGAAAUUGUACGACAAAGGACAUCGUACAUUAGACGAUCUUACGAAUGAUGAUUCACUAACGAAUGCGCAGAAGUUAGGGUUGAAAUACUUUGAUGAUAUCAGGCAACGGAUUCCACGCCAUGAGGUUCAAGAGAUGGAACACAUUUUGCAGAAAGUUGGGGAGGAUGUUUUGCCUGGGGUUAUUAUUAUUUGUGGAGGAUCAUAUAGACGUGGGAAAGCUACCUGUGGGGACAUUGAUAUCAUUAUAACACAUCCUGAUGGAACAAGCCACAAAGGAUUUUUGCCCAAGUAUGUAAAGCGUUUAAAGGAUACGAAUUUCCUGAGGGAGGAUUUGAUUUUUAGUACUCACAGUGAAGAGGGCACUGAUUCUGGUGUUGACACAUACUUCGGUUUUUGCACUUAUCCUGGACGGGAGUUGCGACAUCGUAUUGAUUUAAAGUGUUUUUGCAGGUCUACCCACGAGAGAUAUAUGCUUUCGGCCUUGUAGCUUGGACUGGAAAUGAUGUAUUAAAUAGGAGGUUGAGGCUACAAGCAGAAUCUAAAGGAUUUCGGCUUGAUGAUACAGGGUUGUUUCCAGCUACUCAGGGUUCUGGCGGCAAACGGGGCACAAAAGGUAAUGCAAGUUUGAAAUUGUCCACAGAAAAGGAAGUGUUUGAUUUCCUGGGAUUUCCUUGGCUUGAACCACAUCAAAGAAAUCUCUAAAUACAGGAAUAGUUCGGUUAGCCUGCUAGAAGUACGAUGUACAACACCCUUUUGUGAUGUUUGAAAGAGGUCUCUUGCGAGAUUUUUGCAUGCUCUGGUAUCCCUGCCUUGUAGACUACGGUGUGUAGAGCAGAAAAGGUUUCUCAUUGGGUGCUGCUUUGUGAAUAUUUAUAUGUAGGAAGGAUACAGGUUGACAAUUCUAGGGUCAUCUUCCAAAUAUUGUGUACACAAAAAUAGCACAAUGAUAUGAAUGUUGUUUUUAUUUUUGGGAUUUGUUUAAAAUGUAUUAAGUGUUCACUAAUGUACUUUUUUCACCUUGAUUUCUUUUUA